rnacentral:rRNA from 1 species
CUGCAAGUCGAACGAGAAAGCGGGGGCAACCCUGCGAGUAGAGUGGCAGACGGGUGAGUAACACGUGAACAACCUACCCUUGAGUGGGGAAUAACACCGCGAAAGUGGUGCUAAUACCGCAUGACAUUUCCGGAUUGCAUGAUCCGGAGAUCAAGGGCGAAAGUCGCUUGAGGAGGGGUUCGCGCCUGAUUAGCUAGUUGGUGAGGUAACGGCCCACCAAGGCAACGAUCAGUAGCCGGCCUGAGAGGGCGUACGGCCACACUGGAACUGAGACACGGUCCAGACUCCUACGGGAGGCAGCAGUGGGGAAUUUUGCGCAAUGGGCGAAAGCCUGACGCAGCAACGCCGCGUGGAGGAUGAAGGCCUUCGGGUCGUAAACUCCUGUCAGGGGGGACGAAAGCCUUAACGGGUUU